UACGUAGGCAGCAAGCGUUGUUCGGAAUUACUGGGCGUAAAGAGUGUGUAGGCGGUGCUCUAAGUUUGGUGUGAAAUCUCCCGGCUCAACUGGGAGGGUGCGCCGAAAACUGGAAUGCUUGAACAUGGGAGAGGAAAGCGGAAUUCCUGGUGUAGCGGUGAAAUGCGUAGAUAUCAGGAGGAACACCGGUGGUGUAGACGGCUCUCUGGACCGUAACUGACGCUGAGACACGAAAGCGUGGGUAGCAAACAGG
rnacentral:rRNA from 1 species